AACGAACGCUGGCGGCAGGCCUAACACAUGCAAGUCGAACGCCCCUUCGGGGGAGUGGCAGACGGGUGAGUAACGCGUGGGAAUCUACCCAGUGGUACGGAAUAACUCAGGGAAACCUGGGCUAAUACCGUAUACGCCCUUCGGGGGAAAGAUUUAUCGCCAUUGGAUGAGCCCGCGUCGGAUUAGCUAGUUGGUAAGGUAAAGCUUACCAAGGCGACGAUCCGUAGCUGGUCUGAGAGGAUGAUCAGCCACACUGGGACUGAGACACGGCCCAGACUCCUACGGGAGGCAGCAGUGGGGAAUAUUGGACAAUGGGCGCAAGCCUGAUCCAGCCAUGCCGCGUGAGUGACGAAGGCCUUAGGGUUGUAAAACUCUUUCACCGGUGAAGAUAAUGACGGUAGCCGGAGAAGAAGCCCCGGCUAACUCCGUG
rnacentral:rRNA from 1 species